UAACAUGAGGUAUACUGCAUUAGGGC
rnacentral:piRNA from 1 species